rfam:Schistocephalus solidus strain NST_G2 genome assembly, scaffold: SSLN_scaffold0000381
GGCCUCGUAGCUCAGUUGGCUAGAGCGUUGGCUGUACUAAAGUCUUCCGCUUGCUGGCGUCGGUUCGAAUCCCAUCGAGUCUG